UGGCGGCGUGCCUAAUACAUGCAAGUCGAGCGAACUGAUUAGAAGCUUGCUUCUAUGACGUUAGCGGCGGACGGGUGAGUAACACGUGGGCAACCUGCCUGUAAGACUGGGAUAACUUCGGGAAACCGAAGCUAAUACCGGAUAGGAUCUUCUCCUUCAUGGGAGAUGAUUGAAAGAUGGUUUCGGCUAUCACUUACAGAUGGGCCCGCGGUGCAUUAGCUAGUUGGUGAGGUAACGGCUCACCAAGGCAACGAUGCAUAGCCGACCUGAGAGGGUGAUCGGCCACACUGGGACUGAGACACGGCCCAGACUCCUACGGGAGGCAGCAGUAGGGAAUCUUCCGCAAUGGACGAAAGUCUGACGGAGCCACGCCGCGUGAGUGAUGAAGGCUUUCGGGUCGUAAAACUCUGUUGUUAGGGAAGAACAAGUACAAGAGUAACUGCUUGUACCUUGACGGUACCUAACCAGAAAGCCACGGCUAACUACGUGCCA
rnacentral:rRNA from 1 species